rnacentral:lncRNA from 1 species
UUAUAAAAGACUUAAAAUCUUCCAACUCGUCCCGUUUGUCUAAUUGUUUACUUUCUUUUUCUGAGAAAUCCAUGGCUGGUUCAUAUAGCGGGUCCAACUCAAUCUUAUUGUAAUCUGCGGAUUGAAUAGUGGCGAUAGAAGCAUCAGAAAUGCCAAAUUUCUGCAAGCUCAAUGUAUCAUCAAAUCUAAUCGUCGUCUUCCAUUGCGUUCUUCAAAUCCAAACUUGUAUUUGGUUGUGAAUCAUUC